UGAGGAAUAUUGCGCAAUGGGGGAAACCCUGACGCAGCAACGCCGCGUGGGUGAAGAAGGCCUUCGGGUCGUAAAGCCCUUUCGGACGGGACGAACGCUCCGCGGUGACAAGCCGCGGAGCCUGACGGUACCGUAAGAAGAAGCACCGGCUAACUCCGUGCCAGCAGCCGCGGUAAUACGGAGGGUGCAAGCGUUGUUCGGAAUUACUGGGCGUAAAGCGCGUGUAGGCGGCCUUGCAAGUCGGGCGUGAAAGCCCUCGGCUUAACCGGGGAAGUGCGUCUGAAACUGCUUGGCUUGAGUACGGGAGAGGGAGGCGGAAUUCCCAGUGUAGAGGUGAAAUUCGUAGAUAUUGGGAGGAACACCGGUGGCGAAAGCGGCCUCCUGGACCGAUACUGACGCU
rnacentral:rRNA from 1 species